GCAGUGAGGAAUAUUGGACAAUGGGUGAGAGCCUGAUCCAGCCAUCCCGCGUGAAGGACGACGGUUCUAUGGAUUGUAAACUUCUUUUAUAUAGGGAUAAACCUACUCUCGUGAGAGUAGCUGAAGGUACUAUAUGAAUAAGCACCGGCUAACUCCGUGCCAGCAGCCGCGGUAAUACGGAGGGUGCAAGCGUUAUCCGGAUUUAUUGGGUUUAAAGGGUCCGUAGGCGGACUCGUAAGUCAGUGGUGAAAUCUCAUAGCUUAACUAUGAAACUGCCAUUGAUACUGCGGGUCUUGAGUAAAGUAGAAGUGGCUGGAAUAAGUAGUGUAGCGGUGAAAUGCAUAGAUAUUACUUAGAACACCAAUUGCGAAGGCAGGUCACUAUGUUUUAACUGACGCUGAUGGACGAAAGCGUGGGGAGCGAACAGGAUUAGA
rnacentral:rRNA from 1 species